AUAUGAUGGAACAGUGGAAGAUGUUUCAUUUGAACAAAGAGAAAGAAAAGCAGGAACGACAACUAAAGAAGAACCAAGAAACGGGAGCAGAGAUGUCAUAUAGCAGCAGAUCCAAAAUACCCUUCAAGAAGGAAGGACUGAGGCCUAAUUCAUCAGGCAAAGGCUACACGUAAAAAUCAUCAGAGACUUACAACUUUGAUAUCUUCAGUGCCCUUCCAACGUUUACUUCUUCA